rnacentral:rRNA from 1 species
CCUACGGGUGGCAGCAGUCGAGAAUCAUUCACAAUGGGGGAAACCCUGAUGGUGCGACGCCGCGUGGGGGAAUGAAGGUCUUCGGAUUGUAAACCCCUGUCAUGUGGGAGCAAAUUAAAAAGAUAGUACCACAAGAGGAAGAGACGGCUAACUCUGUACCAGCAGCCGCGGUAAUACAGAGGUCUCAAGCGUUGUUCGGAUUCACUGGUCGUAAAGCGUGCGUAGGCUGUUUCGUAAGUCGUGUGUGAAAGGCGCGGGCUCAACCCGCAGACGGCACAUGAUACUGCGAGACUAGAGUGAUGGAGGGGGAACCGGAAUUCUCGGUGUAGCAGUGAAAUGCGUAGAUAUCGAGAGGAACACUCGUGGCGAAGGCGGGUUCCUGGACAUUAACUGACGCUGAGGCACGAAGGCCAGGGGAGCGAAAGGGAUUAGAUACCCGGGUAGUC